rnacentral:rRNA from 1 species
GACGAACGCUGGCGGCGUGCUUAACACAUGCAAGUCGAACGGAAAGGCCCUGCUUUUGUGGGGUGCUCGAGUGGCGAACGGGUGAGUAACACGUGAGUAACCUGCCCUUGACUUUGGGAUAACUUCAGGAAACUGGGGCUAAUACCGGAUAGGAGCUCCUGCUGCAUGGUGGGGGUUGGAAAGUUUCGGCGGUUGGGGAUGGACUCGCGGCUUAUCAGCUUGUUGGUGGGGUAGUGGCUUACCAAGGCUUUGACGGGUAGCCGGCCUGAGAGGGUGACCGGCCACAUUGGGACUGAGAUACGGCCCAGACUCCUACGGGAGGCAGCGGUGGGGAAUAUUGCACAAUGGGCGGGAGCCUGAUGCAGCAACGCCGCGUGCGGGAUGACGGCCUUCGGGUUGUAAACCGCUUUCGCCUGUGACGAAGCGUGAGUGACGGUAAUGGGUAAAGAAGCACCGGCUAACUACGUGCCAGCAGCCGCGGUGAUACGUAGGGUGCGAGCGUUGUCCGGAUUUAUUGGGCGUAAAGGGCUCGUAGGUGGUUGAUCGCGUCGGAAGUGCAAUCUUGGGGCUUAACCCUGAGCGUGCUUUCGAUACGGGUUGACUUGAGGAAGGUAGGGGAGAAUGGAAUUCCUAGUGGAGCGGUGGAAUGCGCAGAUAUCAGGAGGAACACCAGUGGCGAAGGCGGUUCUCUGGGCCUUUCCUGACGCUGAGGAGCGAAAGCGUGGGGAGCGAACAGGCUUAGAUACCCUGGUAGUCCACGCUGUAAACGGUGGGUACUAGGUGUGGGGUCCAUUCCACGGGUUCCGUGCCGUAGCUAACGCUUUAAGUACCCCGCCUGGGGAGUACGGCCGCAAGGCUAAAACUCAAAGGAAUUGACGGGGCCCCGCACAAGCGGCGGAGCAUGCGGAUUAAUUCGAUGCAACGCGUAGAACCUUACCUGGGUUUGACAUGGAUCGGGAGUGCCCAGAGAUGGGUGUGCCUCUUUUGGGGUCGGUUCACAGGUGGUGCAUGGCUGUCGUCAGCUCGUGUCGUGAGAUGUUGGGUUAAGUCCCGCAACGAGCGCAACCCUUGUUCACUGUUGCCAGCACGUUAUGGUGGGGACUCAGUGGAGACCGCCGGGGUCAACUCGGAGGAAGGUGGGGAUGACGUCAAGUCAUCAUGCCCCUUAUGUCCAGGGCUUCACGCAUGCUACAAUGGCUGGUACAGAGAGUGGCGAGCCUGUGAGUGUGAGCGAAUCUCGGAAAGCCGGUCUCAGUUCGGAUUGGGGUCUGCAACUCGACCUCAUGAAGUCGGAGUCGCUAGUAAUCGCAGAUCAGCAACGCUGCGGUGAAUACGUUCCCGGGGCU